ensembl:lncRNA
UUUUUUUUUUUUUCUUUUGUAAGGCUGUACCACGGCAUAUAGAAAUUCAGGUCUAACAGGAGCUACAGCUGCCGGCCUACUCCACACCCACAGCAACGUGGGAUCGGAGACGUGUCUGUGACCUACACCACAGCUUGUGGCAAUGCCAGAUCCUUAACCCACUGAGCGAGACUAGGGAUCAAACCCACGUCCUCAUGGAUACUAGUUGGGAUCAUUACCACUGAGCCACAAUGGGAAUUCCAGAUGACAGAACUUUUUGACCUAAGCAACCAUAAAGAUGAAAUUAUCAUUACCAGAGAUGGGGAGACAACAGGUAGGAGAAGUCAGAUCACAGAGAUCAGAAAUUUAGUUUAAAAUACAUUAAGUUUAAUAGAUUUCUACCAGUAAAUAGUGAUUGGGAAAUAGUACCAUAGUAUUAUAGGCUAGCUUAUUAUUUGACAGAUUGUGAACAUUGAGAUUUGCACUUUGUGUAUGUCUAAAAGAGCUCCAAAGUCACAGGAAGAAUACAACUGAAAGGCAGCCUAGGUCUGCAGACAGUGAUUCUGUGUACUAAUCUUAUCUUUAAGUUAAGAAAGUACACUAUCUUUUUUGGAGGAAACCACUGGAUGUUAGACAAACUCCUUACUUGAGGAAACUGACCAGCUUGUUCUGAUGAAUGCGAUCUCUUCAUUCCCUCUGUCCCCCUGCCAGCCUUACACAGGAUUUCCUGUGCCCAGAGCAUGGCACAGAUAAUGACACAGGGCCAUGGCUCACAGCUGUGGCUGUUUGGGAAAACCUACAGAAGCUUCCAAAUCCAGAACACAGAUCAGAGAAAUAGGGGUUUUCCCCUAAAACUCAUAGUUUCCAUACCAAAAUGGACAUGCUUGUGCUCGAAGUGGUAGGAGCAAAGUCUUCAUGGUCGGAUGACACAGACUUUCUCAUGGUAAACAUAUGGGAAGUUUUGGGAGUUCCCAUUGUGGCUCAACAGUAAAGAGUCCAACUAGUAUCCAUGAUGACGUGGGUUCCAUCCCUGGCCUUGCUCAGUGGGGAUCGAACCCUCAUGGAUACUAGUCAGGUUGGUUACCACUGAGCCACAGCGAGAACUCCUCUUAGCCAUUUUUAAAUGUACCAUUCAGUAGUGUGAAAUAUAAUCACAUUGGGCAGAAUUCUUUAUCUUGCAGAAUUGAAACUCCAUACUCAUGAAACAACUUUGCAUUCUCCUUCCCCAGACCCUGCCAGUCACCUUUCUACUCUCUAUCUCUGUGAACCAGACUAUUCUCUGUGCCCCACCUGAGUAAUCAUACGGUCUUUGUCCUUUUGUGACUGGCUUAUUUCACUGAGAAUAAUGUCCUCAAGAUUCAUCCAUGUUGUAUCAUGGGUCAGAAUUUCCUUCCUUUUUAAGACUGAGCAAUACCCCAUUGUGUGUAUACCACAUUUGGUUUUAUCCAUUCAUUUGUCAAUCCGUGCUAGCAUCGCUACCACUUUCGGCUACUGCGAAUAAUGUUGCUAUGACCAUGGACAUAAAAAUAUCUCUUGGAGGCCUUGAUUUCAACUCUUUUGGGUAUACAACCAGAAAUAGAAUUGCUGGUCACAUGAUAAUUCUAUUUUUAAUUUUUUGAGAAACUUCCAAUCCUGUCUUCCAUAGCAUUACAUUUUACAUUCCCACCAAGAGUUCACAAGGGUUCCAAUUUCUCCCCAUCAUCACCAAUGCUUGUUGUUAUUUCUGGUUUUGUUGAUAGGAGCUACCCUAAUGGGUGUGAAAUAGUAUCUCGCUGUAGUUUUUAUUUACAUUUCCCUAGUGAUUAAUGAGGUUUAAGAUUCUUCUCAUGUGCUUGUUGGCCAUUUGCAUAUCUUCUUCAAAGAAAUGUCUGCUCAAGACCUUUGUCCAUUUCUAAAUCAGAUUGCUUGAGUUUCUUCUGUUGUUGAGUCAUAGUUCUUUGUAUAUUUCUGAUUCAAACUUAUCAGAUAUAUGGUUUGCAAAUAUUUUCUCCCACUCUGUGGAUUGCCUUUCCACUCUGUUGAUUGUGUCCUUUAAUUCAAAGAGUUUUUAAUUUUGAUGUAGUUCAGUUUAUCUAUUUUCUUCUUUUGCUGCAUGAGCUUUUAGUGGCAUACCCAUGUAUAAACUGAUAUUUUGUGCAUCGGACUAAUAAGGCAAGAAUCACUAUCUCUUUACAGACUUUCUGGGAAUCCAAACCCUUUGGUUCAAAUACUCCUAAGGGAGCCUUG